AGCUCCAAUAGCGUGUAUUAAAGUUGUUGCAGUUAAAAAGCUCGUAGUUGGAUUUCUGGUGGGAGCGAUCGGUCCGACACUCUGUGUGGGUACUUGCAUCGUCUCUUGCCAUCCUUGGGGAGAGUCUGUCUGGCAUUAAGUUGUCUGGGCAGAGGAUCUCCAUCGUUUACUGUGAAAAAAUUAGAGUGUUCAAAGCAGGCUUAUGCCGUUGAAUAUAUUAGCAUGGAAUAAUGGAAUAGGACUACGGUCCUUAUUUCGUUGGUUUCGAGGACCGAAGUAAUGAUUAAGAGGGACAGUUGGGGGCAUCCGUAUUUCGUAGUCAGAGGUGAAAUUCUUGGAUCUACGAAAGACGAACAAGUGCGAAAGCAUUUGCCAAGAGUGUUUUCAUUAAUCAAGAACG
rnacentral:rRNA from 1 species